ACUGUGGGCAGCCGGCCGUGCGCCUGCGUGGUGGCUCUUCCCGGCAGUCCUGGCUCAGUCGCUGAGGCGAGAGUUUGGUGGGUGUCGGCGGCCACGAUGACCCAGGCUGAGAAGGGUGACACGGAGAACGGGAAGGAGAAGGGCGGGGAGAAGGAGAAGGAGCAACGCGGCGUGAAGCGCCCCAUCGUGCCCGCGCUGGUGCCGGAGUCGCUGCAGGAGCAAAUUCAGAGCAACUUCAUCAUUGUCAUACAUCCAGGUUCAACAACUUUAAGGAUUGGUCGAGCCACAGACACUCUUCCUGCCAGCAUUCCUCACGUCAUUGCACGAAGACACAAACAACAAGGGCAGCCCCUGUACAAGGACAAUUGGCUCCUAAGGGAGGGACUAAAUAAACCGGAAAGUAAUGAACAAAGACAGAAUGGACUUAAAAUGGUGGAUCAAGCAAUAUGGUCUAAAAAGAUGUCCAAUGGUACAAGACGCAUUCCUGUGUCCCCUGAACAGGCACGCUCCUACAAUAAACAGAUGCGACCUGCAAUUUUAGAUCACUGUUCGGGAAAUAAGUGGACAAACACAUCUCAUCACCCUGAGUAUUUAGUAGGAGAAGAGGCCUUGUAUGUUAAUCCACUGGAUUGUUACAAUAUUCACUGGCCUAUCAGGAGAGGUCAGUUAAAUAUUCAUCCAGGCCCUGGGGGCUCUCUUACAGCUGUUCUGGCAGAUAUUGAAGUAAUAUGGUCUCAUGCAAUACAAAAAUACUUGGAAAUCCCACUGAAAGAUUUAAAGUAUUACAGAUGUAUCUUAUUAAUUCCUGAUAUCUAUAAUAAACAGCAUGUGAAGGAACUAGUGAAUAUGAUACUAAUGAAGAUGGGUUUUUCAGGGAUUGUGGUCCAUCAGGAGUCUGUGUGUGCCACCUAUGGAAGUGGCUUAAGCAGCACAUGUAUUGUAGACGUUGGGGACCAGAAGACAAGCGUAUGCUGUGUGGAGGAUGGGGUAUCUCAUCGGAACACUCGGCUUUGUCUAGCAUAUGGAGGAUCUGAUGUCUCAAGAUGUUUUUACUGGCUAAUGCAGCGAGCUGGGUUCCCUUACAGAGAAUGCCAGUUAACAAAUAAAAUGGAUUGUCUUCUUCUGCAACACCUUAAAGAAACUUUUUGUCAUUUAGAUCAGGACAUCUCUGGGCUUCAGGACCAUGAGUUUCAGAUUCGACAUCCUGAUUCUCCUGCCCUGCUUUACCAAUUUCGAUUAGGAGAUGAAAAACUCCAGGCUCCAAUGGCUUUGUUUUACCCAGCAACCUUUGGAAUUGUUGGACAGAAAAUGACAAGUCUGCAGCACAGAUCUCAGGGCGAUCCUGAGGAUCCUCAUGAUGAACAUUACCUGCUGGCCACACAGAGCAAGCAAGAACAGUCUGCAAAAGCUACUGCUGACCGAAAGUCUGCAUCCAAGCCUAUUGGAUUUGAAGGGGAUCUUCGUGGCCAGUCCUCUGAUCUUCCAGAAAGACUCCAUUGCCAGGAUGUAGAUUUAGGGUCCUCACAGGGAGACGGCCUGAUGGCCGGCAACGAUUCUGAGGAGGCCCUCACUGCACUGAUGUCCAGGAAGACUGCCAUCUCGCUGUUUGAAGGGAAAGCCCUGGGCCUGGAUAAAGCUAUCCUUCAUAGCAUAGACUGCUGUUGGUUCCCCUGGCUGCAGUGUGGAGGGUGGGCUGGAGGGAGAUCUUUGAGAAGGCUAUUGCACUUCCCAAAGCAAGAGGUGGUGGCUUGGCCUAGAAUUAUGGAUGUGGAAAAGAAGCAUGGAGGAUGUCACUGUCUUUUCAGCAUCUGAUGAUACCAAAAAGAAGAUGUACAGCUCCAUCCUAGUGGUGGGAGGUGGUUUGAUGUUUCAUAAAGCUCAAGAAUUUCUGCAGCACAGAAUCCUCAAUAAAAUGCCACCGUCAUUCAGGCGAAUUAUUGAAAAUGUGGACGUGAUCACAAGGCCUAAGGACAUGGACCCCCGGCUGAUUGCAUGGAAAGGAGGGGCAGUGUUGGCUUGUUUGGAUACAACACAGGAGCUGUGGAUUUAUCAGCGAGAGUGGCAGCGCUUUGGUGUCCGCAUGUUACGAGAGCGGGCUGCUUUUGUGUGGUAAAUGGGGAGGAAAUGUCACCAUCAAAGACCAAAAACAAGCUUUUUGGCAUAAAAGACUUACAGAAUAUAUGUUUUGUAAUUUAUUGAUGUAGAUGCUUAAGUGUCAUGGAUAGUAAAUGAAUUUCAACUUUAUGUUGGGGACAUGACAUUGGUUUCAAAUUAUAAACUGCUUUUGAGCAGUUUAGUCAGGGCAUUUGAGAAUAAAUAGGAACUCAUUCUUCAGUUGUAAACUU